rnacentral:lncRNA from 1 species
UUUCCCGGGGUUUGUCACGUUGCUUGGUGAGGGUCAGGUUCCUACACUAGGAUUUUCCUGGGAGCACUACCAGGCUGCGCAAGCCCCGCCGGAAGAGAUUAUAGAUGGUGUCUUGUGACACACGAGGGUCGAGAUGGUGAUCAAGAGCUUUUGGGUAAAUUAUCCUUUUACACAAUCUAAAAUUAACAAGAUAAGUAAUUAUUGUACUAAUCGGUGUUUUCACGUUUGAUUGCAGACCUUCUAUAGGUGUGAGGAUGGAUAUGAGGAGGAGGCGGCCAAGGUUCUCGAGGCCGAGUGUAGGCGGUUACUACAGAACUUAUGCCACGAGGCUCGGCCGCAGGCUAUUCGAGACUACUAUGCCACGCGUGGUAUUAAGAAGCAGAAGAAGGAUUGCCGCGGAAAGUUUCUGAAGAAGGAGCAAUACAUGAAGGUAAUUACCUAUUCUUAAGUCCUUAUACGUAGUUUUCUUGAUUUCAUUCAUAGGCGUAGCGCUCAAAAUUCUUUCUAAUAACUUACAGGUGCCCCCGAGAUGGUGUGCGGAUAAGAUGGAUUGUUGGGAGGCGUUGGUUGAUGAGUGGUGCACAGGCAGCUGGCGAGCCGUCCACGAGAAUGCGAAGGAUCGGCAUAGCCAAAUGGUUGGUGUGCCACACCAUCAAGGCAACGCCAACUUACUUCAGUUUGGACGAAACUGGGUAUGUGAUUUGCUUCAUGAUUCAUGCAAUUCGUUCUUCAUGCUAGUGUUUUGAUCCUCUCUUUUAGGCGCAUCACAAUAAUACGGAGAUGCCACACUUGUACGACCUUUAUGGCAUGGCCCAUACUGCCUCGUACAAGAAGGCGAAGGCAUUCUCUGAGUCUGACCUGGAUGAUCCCAAUAACUUCACCAACAUAUCAUCCCACCACAAGCUCGUGGCAUACAGGGACGCGGGGAAGGCUAUGAAAGGGGAUGACUUUAACCCUAGCCAGGAACCUUUGGAUCCAAAGCUGGUGAUGAUAUCUGGUGGCAGGAGGCCCCAUGGCUCGAUAGCCAUUGGAGCUGGGAUAAUACGUUGUCCACUCACUCUCCCGGAGAUCAAGGCGCGCCAGUCGAGCAGUUGUCCUGAGAUAACGCGUCGUCCACGGCCAGUCGAUCUUGCCAUCGAGGUUAGUUGUACGGACUAAGAACACUUUCAUCCAUUUCAUUAUGUGUGUCACCAUAGAUCAUUACUGUGGUAACUAGGAGUGGUGUUUCAGGCUGCUCUUCGGAAAGAGAGGUUGGCAAACUAGGCUGCUCUUGAGAAAGAGAGAUUGGCAAACCAGGCUGCUCUUGAGAAAGAGAGAUUGGCAAGCCAGGCUGCUCUUGAUGAGAGGGACCAGACCACGACACGAUUGAUUGAGGAGGAGAGGUCCCGAAAUGAGGCGGGUCAACGGGCCGUGUAUGAGCUUUUUGUGGUAAGUUUUUUUUCACAUUAGCCAAAUCAUGUGUGUAAUGUCUGUUUCAUUACUAACUAAUACGACCCACUCUUCACGGUCAGUGCGAGAUGAGCGGUCAAGUCCCUCCGUCGAUGCCCGUCUUCUCUUCGAUUAGCAUGGUGAGUUUUAUUAUAAACUAGUAUUAAUAAUUUAGUGUCAUCAUGCUAACUCAGACAUUGCAAAAUAUCUAUUCUGCAGAAUAACUCCCGAGCGGCAUCGCCCGACCCUUCUCCACGUAUUUCUCCUCCUUGAUGACCACUACGGUAAGUUUAUAUUCUCCUCUUUCAUAUAAUGACAUAGUUAGCUAAUUUAGCUCCAAGAAGAGGAGAAGAGGAGGAGGAGGAGAAGGAGGAGAAGGCCAAGGACCUUCUAGUCCUUCUCCUCGUCCUCCUCCUUCUCCUCCUUCUUCUUUAUUUCUUCUUCUCCUCCUCCUCCUCCUCUUUCUUCUCCUCUUUCAUAUUCUCCUUGCCUUAAUUUCCCCAACAAUGACAUAAUUAGCCCAUUUAGCUCCAAAAUGCCAUAAUAACCUCAAAAUGGCAUAAGAACCUUGGUUAGCUCAUUAAUAUUAUAUACUUAGCUUGUUUUCCUCUAAAAUGGGACAAUUAGCCCAUUUAGCUCCAAAAAUACAUAGUUAGCUAAUUUAGCUCCAAGAAGAGGAGAAGAGGAGAAGAAAUAGGAAAAAUGAAAAGAAAGAAGAAGAAGAAGAAGAGAAGAAGGAGAAGGAGGAGGAGGAGGAGGAGAAGAAGAAUAAAUAAAGAAGAAGGAGGAGAAGGCCAAGGACCUUCUAGUCCUUCUCCUCCUCCUCCUCCUUCUCCUCCUUCUUCUUUAUUUCUUAUUCUUCUUCUCCUCCUCCUCUUUAUUCUCGUCUUUCAUAUUAUCCUUGCCUUAAUUUCCCUAACAAUGACAUAAUUAGCCAAUUUAGCUCCAAAAAGACAUUAUAAGCUCAAAAUGGCAUAAGAACAUUGGUUAGCACAUUAAUAUUAUAUACUUAGCUUGUUUUCCUCUAUAAUGACAUAGUUAGCUAAUUUAGCUCCAAGAAGAGGAGAAGAGGAGAAAUGAAAAGGAAGAACAAAAAGAAGAAGAGAAAGAGAAGAGAAGGAGAAGGAGAAGAAGGAGGAGGAGAAGAAGGAGAAGGAGGAGGAGGAGGAGGAGGAGGNNNNNNNNNNNNNNNNNNNNNNNNNNNNNNNNNNNNNNNNNNNNNNNNNNNNNNNNNNNNNNNNNNNNNNNNNNNNNNNNNNNNNNNNNNNNNNNNNNNNGAGAAGGCCAAUGUGGCCGUCGAACGCUGCAAAGAGGUGGAAUCCCGCCUGAGCGCCCUCCAAGGGGAACAUGCCAAGCUAGUCGAGCAACGCCGCUCGAAGGAGGAGGAACUCAAGGCCUGUGAGGCCAAGCUUGCCGCCCGGGAGAGGGAGCUGUCCCGGGAGACGAACCGCCUGGGAGCAGAACAGGAGCUCUUGGUUGAGCGGGAGAAGGAUGCCACNNNNNNNNNNNNNNNNNNNNNNNNNNNNNGCGGGAGAAGGAUGCCACCACGAAGGAGGCUCUCCUUGAGGCCUGGGAGAAGGCCCUCGCCGCAGCCAAGGAAAAGAAGGCCUCCGAGCUGGCAUGCUUCCCCGACGUCGAGCUUGUGCUUCGCAAGGCGAUCCACUACCUCUGUCGGGGUGGGUUUGACGAGCCUCUGGCUACCCCGGAGGAAAGCAUUUCCAUGCUCGCGAAUGGGCUCGUCACAGCGCUGCGGGAUGCCGUCAUGCAGAUCGACAAGUCCUUGGCGAGUGAAUGCCACGACCUCUUCUUCGCGGUCGUGACUCGUGUCUUCAGCCACGUUCAUCUUCGCGACCCCGAAUUUGAUCUAAGCUUCGUGAUCAUGUGGUUCCUCCCAGGGCCCGCGACCGCGUCGUGGAGUCGGUGAAGGGUCUUGUGGAGGCGUUGGUGAGGAAGUUCGCCCGCGUCGUGCCCCCCUCGUCACCAGGUACCGCUAGAGGCGACGAUAGGGAAGACAAUGCCUCCGAUGUCGACGACCAGCCCCCUGUGGAGGGGGUGACCGACGGCGGCUCCUCUUGAUCUACUGCACUUGUUAUUUCUCUGCAAUGCACAUCGUGCCUCGUGGAGGCGUCAAACUUAUUUGUGUUUUUUAUGAACUGGGUCAUGGUCUGUAAUAAUUGAAUGCUCGAUUGUUUUCCUCGGCUUGUUCCUAUCAUUUUUUCCGUGUUUCUCUAUGUCGGCAAGGCCGGCCCUGCUCGUACCUUCCCGUGAUUGGACUGACCGGAAACCAAGGACAACCCAAAGGGGGAAGGGGCUAUGAGCGCAGUUAGGCUCCUGAGUCGCGAUGCUCAGGAAUCCCCCUUGACGCGCAAGCUCCUCUCAUGAGGAGGACGUGGUGAAGAUUCCGAAACUUAGAACAUUUUCAGCACUCUGUGUCGGGAGAGCCUGCCCCGCGCAUACCUCGCCGCGAUUGAACCAACCAGAAACCAAGGACGGCCCAAAGGGGGAGUGGCUAUGAGCGUAGUUAGGCCCGUGAGUCGUGAUGCUCAUGGGUGCCCCUUGACGUGCGAGCGACUCCGAUCCUCUUCGUAAGAAACCGAUGGUGUGAGACUCUCGAACUCCUUCAACACUCUGCAUCUGCAGGGCCCGCCCCACGCGUACCUCCCCGCAGUUGAGCCGACCUGAAAGGGGUGGCUAAAAAGGGAAAGGGGCUACGGGCACAGUUCAGGCUCCUGAGUCGCGAUGCUCAGGAGUCACACUUGACAUGCGAGUGACUCCAGCAUUCUUCCUAAGGGAUUUAAAGCGACUUGUUGAGCGCAUUGGGCUAUGUGUCCGCAGGGCCCGCCCCCUGCGUACCUUCCUGCGAUUGAACCGUCCAAGGACGGCCCAAAGAGCGAAGGGGCUACGAGCAUAGUUAGGCCGCUGAGUCGCGAUGCUCAGGGGUCCCCCUUGAUGUGCGAGCGGCUCCGUACCUUCAGUUGUUUGCCCACACGCUGGGUGUGGGCGGAGCUGUGGAUGUAUUGCGCUGAUCCCCUCGAUGGCCUUGGGUGUAGCCAUUGGCGGGCUGUGUUAAUGCCGGUUGAGGGCGUAGUCAUCGGCGGACUAUAUUGGUUGCCCAUGUAUGUACCCAGCGCGGAGCAUAGGUCUUCUACUAGGCAUAGGGUGGACCCCUCCGUGUCCUCGGGGGGCCCUGGGCGUAUAUAGCCUCGGCUCGUUAUUACGUUAGAGUGUCACGGUGGGGGUGUAUAUGGGAGGUCGCGAGAAAGAUAGGGCCUUGCAAGUGUCCCUACCCCGAGGCAUCGGGGCCUGAUCUUCUCCCCAGCGUGGAGCGUAGGUCUGCCACUCGGUAUAGGAUGGACCCCAACNNNNNNNNNNNNNNNNNNNNNNNNNNNNNNNNGACCCCAACGUGUCCUCGGGAGGCCUUGGGCGUAUACAGCCUCGGCUCGUUAUUACGUGAGAGAGUCACAGUGGGGUGUAUAUGGGAGGUCGUGAGGAUGCUAUGGCCUCGCGAGUGUCCCUACCCCCGAGUCAUUGGUGGACUGAAUUGACUUGGUUUGGGUCAUUGGCAAACCCUGCUCACUUCUUCUUUAGGAGAGGGGCUCCGCACCUGCACGAACAAACUUUGACCGGAGCCCCCAAGCGGGGGCCGAUCGCCCGACAAUAUAACCAAGGCGGAACGUUAGGAUGCCAAGCAGGUGCAAUUGAACAACCAAAUGAUGCAUAAACGAAAGUAGUAGCUGGGGAAAGUACAGAGCUCGGGGAGGCCGCAUGGCCCUGGGGUUACCUAUGGACUGGGCGAACCGAAAGGUUACCUGGCAGCGGCCAGCAAAAAGUUACCUAGCGGCCGAGCUGCUGAAGUGCCGGAGGCUCUGUUGUCGCUUGAUUUCCUGGAUCCGCAGUCGCGACCCUCACGGGUCCAUCGCCCCCCGAUCUAGGGGCCUUCGCUUGGCCCGAGCAUCUUCUCCUCCUCCUCGUGGCGCCCAAGCACGCAAGGGAGGAGAAUGGCCUGCUGGAGCCUCUGGUACGUGGCAGCCGCGUUCCUCAGCCCGGAGAGCAUGAAGGCUUCAGUGCUCGGGUACUCCCACCAGUAGCCAGUCUGCGUAGGACAGAAGGGGUCGUGCGCCAUGGCUGCGUUGGUUGCAGACGCGUUAAUGCAGAUGCGGGGCCGGUCAACUGUGCAGACAGCGGCGACUGCGAUGGGUGGUGCGGGGCAGUUACCGUGUCGCAUGGUCUGGGCCUCGAGAAGUUCUCGGAUUUCUUUGAUGACGGACUCGCGAGAUCUGGUCGAACGUGCUCCGGAGUGCGCCCUCGGGAUGUGCUCAGACACCGCCUCUGUCUCACUGAUCAGGCUAGGGGCCUCCCCGGUGGGAGCCCCCUAGCCCUGAUCUAAGAGGGACGCCGAGCGCACAUCCCUAUGCGAUGGGGGGCAGGGAUCCGUCCCCGAGCAUCGAACACAAAGCCCCGAGGCACUCCGCAGGGAGGAACUCCUUCUUGAGCGGGGCUUCGUGAGGCAGCUCGUCAUCUUCAUCAUUUGAGCGUUCUGACGUUGCCGCACGGUACGCUCUCUCCAGUGCGUAGACAUCAUCCUUCUCAUGACAGGGUAUGGUGAUGUCACCACCGCUUCCCGGCAUCUUGAGGACAUUCUAUCCAUGGUGGACCACGACCAUGAACUUGGCAAGCACUGGUUACCCGAGGAUGGCAUUGUAUGGCAGAUGGAUGUGCGCGACGUCGAAGAGGAUGACCUUGGUGUGAUAGUUGUGGCGCUCGCCAAAGGUGACGGGCAGGUGCACUUGCCCAAUGGGUACGGUGGAUCCCUUUGUUACCCCUGAGAAGGGCUUGGUCGGCAUGAGUUGCUCAUACGGCAGCUGGAGCUUCUCGAAGGUCUCGACUGAGAGGAUGUUGAGCCCAGCUCCACUCUCAAUGAGAGUCUUGGUGACGAGGACGUUGCUGAUAGUUGGGGUGCACAUCAUUGGGAGCUUGCCAGCCAGGAACGAGCACCUGAGCUGGUCGCUUGGGUCGAAAGCAAUGGUGGUCUGGGACUAGUUGAGGGGACGUAUCGCUUCAGGCCUCGGGAGGGCGACAUUCACCUCCUGGGACAACUGCAUGAAGGCGUGGUUGGAUGCUGGGGUCUGGGCACCACCCAGGAUGGAAGCUAGUGCCCUGGCAUUCUGGAAGCCCCCAGCCCUGUCGUCUUGCUUGUCUUCGUUCCUCCUCCUGGGCUGCAGGGGCAGCGAGGGCAGCCUGGUCUCUCGAGGGCGAGCCUCACGAGGUUGGCCGCUUCGCUGGCCCUCCUGAGGAUUAUCACGCCAGCGGUCCUCCUGAGGUUGGCCAUGCCAGGGGUCCUCCUGAGGCUUCUCAUGCCACCCCUGACGUGGCUCACGAUCAUCCCAGCGGACCCCAUUGCGGCCUCCUCCAUGCAGGGUUUCUGUAGAACUGUCCGGGAUCCUGUUGAAGUGUUUGGCAUGAACCAAACGUAGUUCUUGACAUUCAGAGGUGUCAUGGCCGAUGGUGCAAUGGAAGAUGCACGUCGGCCCUCCUCCAGAGGGGCGCUCUCCCCCCUCGAGUAUGCUUCGUUUCAGGCUCGGCGGCUAGUACCGCUGGGGCCUUGCGCUUCAGCUCCUUGGCUUUGGCCUUCUUCUCUUCUGGGUCCGCCGCCUGGGGCCCAAGGAGCGAUAGGCGUCCUUCUUCCGCCUUGGCGCACUUGCUUGCCAAGUUGAACAUCUCCAAUGCGGUGCUCAUUUCAUCGUUCAUGGCAAGCUCUUCCUUCAUCUUGAGGUCGGUGACUCCGUUGGAUAAAGACGAUACGACAGCCUCAUCCGACGCCUUAGGGAUCAUGAGGCGCAUGACAGUCAAACAUUGUAUGAACUUGUGCAGGUUAUCCACCUCUUGCUGCUUGACGCGCCGCAGGUCGAUCACGGUGGGAGCGCGGUCGCGGGUGCCCUGGAAGUUGGCGAUGAAGCGCUCACGCAAGCCGUCCCAGGAGGUAAUGGACGCCUUUGGGAGGUUGAGGAGCCAUGAAAGCGCGCCACCCUUGAGCGCCAUCGGGAACCAACAUGCCAUGAUCUUGUCGCCACCUCCUGCCGCCUUGAUGCUCAGUGUGUAGAGUUGCAGGAACUCUGUCGGGUCUUGGUUUCCGUCGUAACAUGGGGGCAGGUCGGGCUUGAACUUGCAGGGCCAUGUGCCGGGGUAGAUAUCGGGGGCGAUGGUGAAGCACCCCACCGGUCCAACAAGCACAGUACGCGCGGGGGCUGCCUGGUCUUGUUGUUCCUCAGGGUCUGCCUCGAGCAGAGCACGCUCCGGGCGCGAGAUCUACAACGCCAGGGGAGCGCACGCGUUGGCGCGGGGCCUGGGGAUCAUCUGGCAGCUUGCUUCAUCCCCGGGCCUCGCCCUGGGUUCACGCGGCCGAGCACGGAGUCGUGCUUCCUGCCCGGGCUCGGGGUCCGCGACAUGCCGCGGAGGCGAGUAUGGCGCGUCUUGCUCCUCGUUGUUCGUCAGGGACGGCUAGGGCCGGAGCAAGCAGGAGAGUGCCGCUGAGUCACCAGCGGCGGCGAUGAGUUCCUCGAUGCGAUGGAUCGAGUUGUCAUGGCGGUCUAGAGCUGGUCGGUAAGGGAGAAGCUCGGUGGUCAUGGCAAGCGGGCGGCGGCCAUGGGGCCUCCCUAGCCGAGCGCGGGAUGCCGACGCCGAAGGCCUGACGAGCGACGGCGUGGCGGUGCAGCUGUCGACAUGCUCAGUCGGAGGUUGGGAGCAGCCCUGUUGCUCUAGAGCUUCGGGGCUGGUAGCAGCAUUCACCACGGGUGACGGUGACCGACACGCACCGGCAGCACCGACGGGUGCGGUCCGGGCGAUGCGGGUGGCGCGAUGUUCCGCACGUACCCGGUGUGUAUCAGCCAUCAGAGCCAUGGAGUUUGGUGAGGACGGAGCUUGGAGUAAACCUCGACACGCCCCUACCUGGCACGCCAAAUGUUGGAUUUCGGGCUCUGCAAAACCCUAAGGACUCAAACACUGGCGCGUGUACAAAGAUCUCCCCUUCUUCGCCUCGCCUGUCUCACUACUCGAUGGAAACAAUGAAGGACUCACUAGAAGGUGAGGAGAACACAGAACCCAGCAACUUACCCAGGUUCGAGCCGCUAUGAAGCGUAAAACCCUAAUACUGCUUUGGAGGAUUGCCUCUCUUCAAGGUUGAGGAACGAGAUGGUACAUGGCUUUUGCGCCUCCGGAGGCCAAGUGGCUAAGCGUGCUGCACUAGGGUUUCGAUCCCCUCUCUCAAGUAUCUGUUGGGCAAGGUUGCAUGGGAAACAAAAAAAUUCCUACGCACACGAAGACCUAUCAUGGUGAUGUUCAUCUACGAGAGGGAGGUCAUAUCCACAUACCCUUGUAGAUCGCUAAGCACGAAGUGUUAAGAAAUGUAGUUGAUGUAGUGGAACAGCUUUGUGAUUCAAAUCACCAUUGUCCCACGAUCCGUCCCGAUCUAGUACCGAACGGACCACACCUCUGCGUUCAGCGCACGUACAGCUCGAUGACGAUCUCUGCCUUCUUGAUCCAGCAAGAGAGACGGGGAUGUAGAUGAGUUCUCCGGCAGCGUGAUGGCGUGCUGGUGAUGGUGAUGAUCUAUUCCUACAGGGCUCCGCCCGACCUCCGCAAAAAACCGAUCUAGAGGAAGAACUACGAAGUAGAGGUUUAGGGUUUCAUGUGGCAAAGUUUUUUCUCAAGAACACUAAAAUCUCUAGUAUAUAUAGUAGGAGGGGAGGGGCUAGCCUUGGGGAUCAAGAGAGCCCCUAGGGCGUCGGCCGAGUGGAGGAGGAGGGACUCCCACUCCAAUUCGGUUUGGGAAGGAGGAGUCCCUUCCUUCCUUCCCACCUCCCUCUUUUUUUUCUCCUUUGAUUUUUCCUCUUGGACGAAAUAGCCCUAUUAGGCUGGCCUCACCAGCCCACCAAGGGCUGGUGCGCCACCCAUGGCCUAUUAGGUUCUCUCCCGGGUGGGUGGCCCCCUCCCGGUAAAAACCCGGAACCCAUUCAUCACUCCCGGUACACUGCCGGUAAUGCCCGAAAUCUUUCCGGAAGCCAAAUGAAACAAUCCUAUAUAUCAAUCUUCGUUUCCGGACCAUUUCGGAAACUCACUUGAUGUCUGUCAUCUCAUCCGGGAGUCCCAACAAACCUUCGGUCGCCAACACCUAUAACUCAACUAUACUGAAACGUCACCGAACCUUAAGUAUGCAGACCCUGCGGGUUCGAGAACAAUGCAGACAUGACCUGAGACACUCCCUGAUCAAUAUCCAAUGGAGGGACCUGGAUGUCCAUAUUGGAUCCUACAUAUUCUACAAAGAUCUUAUCAGUUGAACCUCUGUGCCAAGGAUUCAUAUAAUCCCGUAUACCAUUCCCUUUGUCCUUCGGUAUGUUACUUUCCCGAGAUUCGAUCGUCGGUAUCCCUAUACCUAUUUAAAUCUCGUUACCGGCAAGUCUCUUUACUCGUUCUGUAAUACAAGAUCCUGUGACAAACACUUUAGUCACAUUUCUUGCAAGGCUUAUAUGUGAUGUUGUAUUACCGAGUGGGCCCCGAGAUACCUCUCCGUCACANNNNNNNNNNNNNNNNNNNNNNNNNNNNNNNNNNNNNNNNNNNNNNNNNNNNNNNNNNNNNNNNNNNNNNNNNNNNNNNNNNNNNNNNNNNNNNNNNNNNAGCAUGUUUUCUCGAGCCAUGUUGGUACAUGAACAUGGACAUACACAUAUUCUUAGGAACAAAUAAGAAAGAUAAAUGGAGAAGGAAAACCCAAAGCAAUGUCAGAGUUGACAAAACUGCAAUGGCACUUUAUAUGUGGCCCAUCGUCAGUGAGCUGUUUAUGCCUUGCCGGACUCCUCGCAGCCUGGUGGCUUGAAGGCGAUGAAGCUGACGCACUGCACCUGACGCAUGUUGUCGAAUCCGAUGAUGCGGACAUACGCGUCAGGGUACUCCUUCUUGACCUCCUCCACCUCGUUGAGCACCUGUGUGGCGUCGGUGCAUCCGAACAUAGGCAGCUUCCACAUUGUCCAGUACCGGCCAUCGUAGUACCCAGGAGAUGCGUUGUGCUCACGGAAGAUGAACCCAACCUUGCUGAACUCGAGGCAAGGCACCCACUUGGAGCGGAUCAGGUAGUCGACCUGCUUAAGGAGGGCCUCCGUGCUGAGUGGUGGCAAGUAAGACAGGGUCUCGAACUUCUUGAUGCCCUCGAUGGGCCACACCUGCAAAUCAGAUUCACGUCUAUACAUUAAGAGACUAUAACUCUAGUUCUACACGUUUGAUUGUUCUUCUUGACAUCCGUCGGCUUAAAAAUGACUAGAAAGACAGAGACGAUGUUGUUUACCUGCAUGCACCUGAUCCUUCCACCGUUGCUGACGCUGCCGAGGCUAGCACCGUUCGAGCGGCGGCUGACGGGGAGGCCGGCGGUGGACUUGAGCCCCUGGAAAGGAGCGACGGAGGUGGCCGACGAGGCCAUCACGGUGGGGGCCAUAGCUGUACUAUGUAGGUAUAUAGCUUGCUAGAGGGAGGCACACUGGCUUGAGGACUG